GUCACUCCUGUUUUAACACCACCUGAUUUUAGAAGGCUUGAUAAGAGCUUGAGCAUUGCUAGGAGUGUACACAAGAGGAUGAGAAGUAGCGAACGUAAUGCAGAAAAUAUAGAAGAGCUUGAGAUGUUGUUAAAAACAUACUUUGAUCAACAUUAACCCUUUUCUUUCCAACUUUACCACAUUUUAUCUAUCACUGUUUCCCUUUUCACGUUUCAGUUAAAAGAAUACAUUGAUGACAUGGAAGAUUUCAUCAACAUUCAGUUACUCAUGCUUUUGUCUAUAUUUUAUAUCAUCAUAACUAAACCUUGAUGUAAAUGUGUUGAAAGUUGAAGCAUAAUUGUAACUUGACUACAGGAACUAUAAUUCAUUGAGUUAAAUAGUGGACCCUCUAACAUUGAACUUGAGGGAAAGCUGUUGUUUCCUCUUAUUGUGGGUGAAUUAUGUGCUGUUCAUUAAGUUAAUAAAGAAGCACCAAAGCUCGAUUACACUACAGGCAAGAGUCUUCUACAAUAGGAAAAUGAAGCACAAGAAUUAGAGGUUUACCUAGAAACAGAAUCACUGAUAGGAUAUUUAUUUACUGCACAAUAAAUUGAUUUGUGAGGCGAAAGAAUCGAUGAAUGUUGAAUGGGAGAGUAUUUCUUUGGAGGAGGAUAGUGUUGAUCUGGAUUGGAUGAAUGAACUCAAUCCACUAAUUGUAACUAAUGAUAACUUUAUCAUUUUUAACCAAGUUGGAUUGCAAUAAUAAAACUGAGUAUACAUGUUUAAUGAAGAACCAGAG